CUACGGGUGACAGCAGUGAGGAAUAUUGCACAAUGGAGGAAACUCUGAUGCAGCAACGCCGCGUGGAGGAUGACGCAUUUCGGUGCGUAAACUCCUUUUAUAUGUCAAGAAAAUGACGGUAGCAUAUGAAUAAGCACCGGCUAACUCCGUGCCAGCAGCCGCGGUAAUACGGAGGGUGCAAGCGUUACUCGGAAUCACUGGGCGUAAAGGACGCGUAGGCGGGAUAUCAAGUCAGGUGUGAAAUCCUACAGCUUAACUGUAGAACUGCACUUGAAACUGGUAACCUAGAGUAUGGGAGGGGGAGAUGGAAUUAGUGGUGUAGGGGUAAAAUCCGUAGAUAUCACUAGGAAUACCUAAAGCGAAGGCGAUCUCCUGGAACAUAACUGACGCUAAGGCGUGAAAGCGUGGGGAGCAAACAGGAUUAGAUACCCGCGUAGUC
rnacentral:rRNA from 1 species